rnacentral:rRNA from 1 species
UUGGACAAUGGGCGCAAGCCUGAUCCAGCCAUACCGCGUGGGUGAAGAAGGCUUCGGGUUGUAAAGCCCUUUUGUUGGGAAAGAAAUCCAGCUGGCUAAUACCCGGUUGGGAUGACGGUACCCAAAGAAUAAGCACCGGCUAACUUCGUGCCAGCAGCCGCGGUAAUACGAAGGGUGCAAGCGUUACUCGGAAUUACUGGGCGUAAAGCGUGCGUAGGUGGUCGUUUAAGUCCGUUGUGAAAGCCCUAGGCUCAACCUGGGAACUGCAGUGGAUACUGGGCGACUAGAGUGUGGUAGAGGGUAGCGGAAUUCCUGGUGUAGCAGUGAAAUGCGUAGAGAUCAGGAGGAACAUCCAUGGCGAAGGCAGCUACCUGGACCAAUACUGACAUUGAGGCACGAAAGCGUGGGGAGCAAACAGGAUUAGAUACCNUGGUAGUCCACGCYNUAAANGAUGNGAAUUGGAUGUUGG